rnacentral:rRNA from 1 species
UUCGCAAUGCCCGAAAGGGUGACGAAGCUACGCCGCGUGUGGGAAGAAGGCCUUCGGGUUGUAAACCACUGUCGGGAGUUAAGAAGUGCAAGGAUAUGAAUAGUGUCUUUGCUUGACUAAGGCUCCGGAGGAAGCCACGGCUAACUCUGUGCCAGCAGCCGCGGUAAUACAGAGGCGGCAAGCGUUGUUCGGAAUUAUUGGGCGUAAAGAGCACGUAGGCGGCUACGUAAGUCGGUUGUGAAAGCCUUCCGCUCAACGGGAGAACAGCAUCCGAUACUACAUGGCUUGAGUGCGGGAGGGGAGAGUGGAACUUCUGGUGGAGCGGUGAAAUGCGUAGAUAUCAGAAGGAACGCCGGCGGCGAAAGCGGCUCUCUGGCCCAUAACUGACGCUGAGUGUGCGAAAGCUAGGGGAGCAAACGGGAUUAGAUACCCCGGUAGUCCUAGCCGUAAACGAUGGGCACUAAGUAGAGGGGUUUU